rfam:Schistosoma mattheei strain Denwood, Zambia genome assembly, scaffold: SMTD_contig0026493
GCAUUGCUGAGGCGUCCCAUACUAGGACGAAACGGCCGUCCAGUGC